rnacentral:rRNA from 2 species
GUGAUAUGAACCGUUAUAACCGGCGAUACCCGAAUGGGGAAACCCAGUGUGAUUCGUCACACUAUCAUUAACUGAAUCCAUAGGUUAAUGAGGCGAACCGGGGGAACUGAAACAUCUAAGUACCCCGAGGAAAAGAAAUCAACCGAGAUUCCCCCAGUAGCGGCGAGCGAACGGGGAGGAGCCCAGAGCCUGAAUCAGCAUGUGUGUUAGUGGAAGCGUCUGGAAAGGCGCGCGAUACAGGGUGACAGCCCCGUACACAAAAGCGCAUGUGCUGUGAGCUCGAUGAGUAGGGCGGGACACGUGGUAUCCUGUCUGAAUAUGGGGGGACCAUCCUCCAAGGCUAAAUACUCCUGACUGACCGAUAGUGAACCAGUACCGUGAGGGAAAGGCGAAAAGAACCCCGGCGAGGGGAGUGAAAAAGAACCUGAAACCGUGUACGUACAAGCAGUGGGAGC